UGGGCUUUUAACCUAAUGGUCGCAGGUUCAAGUCCUGCUAUACCCA
rfam:Hordeum vulgare subsp. vulgare, WGS project CAJW01000000 data, contig: morex_contig_909830